rnacentral:rRNA from 2 species
ACGGGAGGCAGCAGUGGGGGAUAUUGCACAAUGGGGGAAACCCUGAUGCAGCGACGCCGCGUGAGUGAAGAAGUAUUUCGGUAUGUAAAGCUCUAUCAGCAGGGAAGAAAAUGACAGUACCUGACUAAGAAGCCCCGGCUAACUACGUGCCAGCAGCCGCGGUAAUACGUAGGGGGCAAGCGUUAUCCGGAUUUACUGGGUGUAAAGGGUGCGUAGGUGGCAAAGUAAGUCAGAGGUGAAAACCCAGGGCUCAACCUUGGGAUUGCCUUUGAAACUAUUUAGCUUGAGUGCUGGAGAGGUAAGCGGAAUUCCUAGUGUAGCGGUGAAAUGCGUAGAUAUUAGGAGGAACACCGGUGGCGAAGGCGGCUUACUGGACAGUAACUGACACUGAGGCACGAAAGCGUGGGGAGCAAACAGGAUUAGAUACCCUGGUA